rnacentral:rRNA from 1 species
AACGAACGCUGGCGGCAGGCCUAACACAUGCAAGUCGAGCGCCCCGCAAGGGGAGCGGCAGACGGGUGAGUAACGCGUGGGAACGUGCCCUUUGGUUCGGAACAACUCCGGGAAACUGGAGCUAAUACCGGAUAAGCCCUUCGGGGGAAAGAUUUAUCGCCAAAGGAUCGGCCCGCGUCUGAUUAGCUAGUUGGUGAGGUAAUGGCUCACCAAGGCGACGAUCAGUAGCUGGUCUGAGAGGAUGAUCAGCCACACUGGGACUGAGACACGGCCCAGACUCCUACGGGAGGCAGCAGUGGGGAAUAUUGGACAAUGGGCGCAAGCCUGAUCCAGCCAUGCCGCGUGAGUGAUGAAGGCCUUAGGGUUGUAAAGCUCUUUUGUCCGGGAAGAUAAUGACUGUACCGGAAGAAUAAGCCCCGGCUAACUUCGUGCCAGCAGCCGCAGUAAUAC